rnacentral:rRNA from 1 species
AUUGAACGCUGGCGGAAUGCUUUACACAUGCAAGUCGAACGGCAGCACGGACUUCGGUCUGGUGGCGAGUGGCGAACGGGUGAGUAAUGUAUCGGAACGUGCCCAGUCGUGGGGGAUCACGUAGUGAAAAUUACGCUAAUACCGCAUACGAUCUAUGGAUGAAAGCGGGGGAUCGCAAGACCUCGCGCGAGUGGAGGGGCAGAUAUAGGAGUAGGUAGUUGGUGGGGUAAAGGCCCACCAAGCCAACGAUCUGUAGCUGGUCUGAGAGGACGACCAGCCACACUGGAACUGAGACACGGUCCAGACUCCUACGGGAGGCAGCAGUGGGGAAUUGUGGACAAUGGGCGAAAGCCUGAUCCAGCCAUUCCGCGUGCAGGAUGAAGGCCCUCGGGUUGUAAACUGCUUUUGUACAGAACGAAAAGGUUUCUACUAAUACUAGGAGCUCAUGACGGUAUUGUAAGAAUAAGCACCGGCUAACUACGUGCCAGCCGCCGCGGUAA